UAAGUUGCUGUCCCAGGGGGGGAGGGCUGCUACCUGCGGCAAGUACCUCUUCAACUGGGCAGUAAGGACC
rfam:Hepatitis C virus isolate QC103, complete genome